rnacentral:rRNA from 1 species
GUGUUCCGGUUGUCACGCCAGUGGCAUUGCCGGGGAGCUAUGUUCGGAAGAGAUAACCGCUGCAAGCAUCUCAGCGGGAGACUGGCCUCACGCUGAGAUCGCACUGGGAUCUAGAAUCCCCGGAAGGGCCGUCGAAGACUACGACGUGGAUAGGUGGGGUGGGUAAGCGCUGUGAGGCGUUGCGCUAACCCAUACUAAUUGCCCGUGAGGCUUGACCAU